CUGGAUGAAAGGACAUGGGGAGCAGAAGUGCUCAAGGGGCUUCAUUUCGCCAUGGAAGCAAAGUGGAAUCAAGGUUUCUGGAAAAGCUUUGCGUUGUGUGUGAGAGCUAUGGAGGAAAGACAUCAUUAUGGAGGAAUCCUAAUUGUAAAUUGAACCACAUAAUUUUCUCCAUCCCCAAAUUAGCAGUGUAAGGUAAGAGAGAUUGGAUUUCA
rnacentral:lncRNA from 1 species